AUGACAAUAAACAAAUCACAAGGUCAGACGAUACCAAAUGUUGGGGUCUAUCUGCUUGAACCGGUUUUCUCACAUGGUCAACUAUAUGUCGCGCUUUCUAGAGCAACCGCGACAUCAAACAUAAAGGUACUAACAGGUACACAUGAUGAGAAUAAACAGAAGAAUAAAAAGACAAGUACAAGCGACACAUACCCAAAGGGUGGGAAGAAAAAGAAGAAUAAGAAGACCAAUACAAGCGGGACGUAUACGAAAAAUAUUGUCUACACCGAAGUCCUAACCAAAUAG
rnacentral:rRNA from 1 species